AUUGAACGCUGGCGGCAUGCCUUACACAUGCAAGUCGAACGGUAACAGGUUAAGCUGACGAGUGGCGAACGGGUGAGUAAUGUAUCGGAACGUGCCCAGUCGUGGGGGAUAACUGCUCGAAAGAGCAGCUAAUACCGCAUACGACCUGAGGGUGAAAGCGGGGGAUCGCAAGACCUCGCGCGAUUGGAGCGGCCGAUAUCAGAUUAGGUAGUUGGUGAGGUAAAGGCUCACCAAGCCGACGAUCUGUAGCUGGUCUGAGAGGACGACCAGCCACACUGGGACUGAGACACGGCCUAGACUCCUACGGGAGGCAGCAGUGGGGAAUUUUGGACAAUGGGCGCAAGCCUGAUCCAGCCAUGCCGCGUGCGGGAAGAAGGCCUUCGGGUUGUAAACCGCUUUUGUCAGGGAAGAAAAGGUUCUGGCUAAUACCUGGGACUCAUGACGGUACCUGAAGAAUAAGCACCGGCUAACUACGUG
rnacentral:rRNA from 1 species